rnacentral:misc_RNA from 1 species
AAGUCGUAACAAGGUUUCCGUAGGUGAACCUGCGGAAGGAUCAUUAAAAAUUUUACCAAGAAAAUUCUUUUUUUGGUCAAAAAAAUUUGUGCGCACCGUAACCAUAUCGCCUUGGCAGGGGCUUUGGGUGGAAAAAAGAAUUUUUCUCUUUUUACCCAACUUUCGCUUUGACUCCAUCCCACCUAAAAAAUGGGACAGUCAUUGUGGAGAGCCGUUUCCCUGCCGAGGAACAACUUAAAAACACUUUUUUAAAAACAUUUUGUCUGAAACUUAUUUUUUUGUGAUGGCGAAAGUCACGCAAUAAAACCAAAAUAUAACUUUCAACAACGGAUCUCUUGGCUCUC